rnacentral:lncRNA from 10 species
GCGAUGAGGAACAGCUGAUCACCUGUGGAAGUCAUUUGUCCUAAAUUGUCAUGGACAGACCAUGUGCCUUACAGCAAGAAAAUUCUGUGAAUAAACAGGAAGCCAGCCAGCCAGGGAAGAUGCUUUUGUGAUAUAUCCCAGCAUGCUGAUGACCCCAAGGAGGACCACUGGAUACCUAGCAAGGAGCUGGCUGCAGCAUACCAUGAAUCCUCACAGCAACUUAAUGAGAUUCUCCCAUUGAGAAGCAUUUCUGUGAGCUCUGGAAGUCAGGUGAAAAGGAGAAGUCAUAAUCUAUGGCAGCAGCUAUGGGAAGGAAAAAGAAGAACUGAUUGAAGAGUGGCAACCAGAACCUCUUGUUCCUCCUGUCCCAAAAGACCAUCCUGCUCUCAACUACAACAUCGUUUCAGGGUAAAUUGAUUUUGCUACCUGAAGUACUUGUAUUUGGCUUCUUGUAGUAACCUGCAGUCUAUAGUGCUUUAUAUGUAGUAGUCCUUUUUUAUCUGAAACAAAACAUUUUGAAGUUCCCAGGAGUAACAGCUUUAGCUCCUGAUUUUAAAAAAUUUAUUCUAGGGGUGAUACAGGCAUUUUUUAAAAU